rnacentral:tRNA from 1 species
AAGAGAUUAGUUAAAAUAAUAUAGGGUUGUCAUCUCUAAGUUACUAUUUACUCAUAGUAUCUCUUU